rnacentral:lncRNA from 1 species
CGGAAGUCAGAAAUCGGAAGCCAUCGCCAGGCCAGCCUGGAUCUCCCCUUCCGGGCAAAUCAACCGCCACCCCAGCAACUCAUCCUCAGAUCUCACGUUUUCCAGCGCCCACGACCAGUGGAUCGUUCUGUCUGCAAAGGUCCCUCUUAGAGGGGCCGUAACCCCGUGUGCCGCUGACCCAGCUCAGACCAGACGGGGACCACCACACCUCGCUGGAGACCCCUCACUGCUCCAAGCACAAGAAAUGUGACUCCGAGCAGCGAGUACUCCUGAGGCUCAGAGGGAGAAAAACCCCAGCGUGAAGACAUCACAAGUGCAGGAUUUAAACGUAGAGCCACCCAGUUGCAGAACCCACACUCUGAGCCCGCUGCGGUCCGGCCUCCGCUGAAGACCCAGAUGCACCAGAAGUGAUGUCUAACCUAGAACCCCGUGGCCAGUCAAGUGGACACAUAGGAUUCACCGUCACAGGGGCUUUGCAGAUGUAUUUUCAGUUGAGGAUCUUGACAUGAGAUCAUGCUGGCUUUAAG